rnacentral:lncRNA from 1 species
GUUUGGAAAGGUCAGCACGGACAAGUAUAUUUCUCAGGCUGUUAGGUUGUUUGAAGGCAAUCAUGGGAGGCUCAGGAAAGAUUUUGGAUAACUUCGAAUGUUUCUCGAUUGCUGUCCAAUGAUCACGAAUGGUCUUGAAACUAUUUCUCAGGCAUGGAUGGUAAGUGAGCACACAUGGGAUUCUUUUACUUUUCUGUUUUUCUUUGUAAGUUAGCAGACUGCUUCUGGGGAUGGAUUCCGCUUUUCGAAAACUAUUUUUGAUGUUUUUGUUUUUAUAUCCCCUUCUUUUCAAAUGUCCUUUGAGCUGCCCCAGACGUUGUUUUGCAGUGUCUUCAGAGGAGCAGAUUCGCCUUAUUCUGAGAGCUUGGCUGUAUGGAAUGCUCUUCGUGCAGUGUGGAGGAUGGCAACUUUCAGGCGACAAGUAUUGAUGAGUAUCUGUAGGUUUAGAGUAUAUAUCUGUGUUUAUUAUACCUACAGAGAGG